rnacentral:rRNA from 1 species
UAAGUUAUUAAGGGCGCACGGUGGAUGCCUUGGCACUAGAAGCCGAUGAAGGACGUUACUAACGACGAUAUGCUUUGGGGGAGCUGUAAGUAAGCUUUGAUCCAGAGAUUUCCGAAUGGGGAAACCCAGCAUGAGUUAUGUCAUGUUAUCGAUAUGUGAAUACAUAGCAUAUCAGAAGGCACACCCGGAGAACUGAAACAUCUUAGUACCCGGAGGAAGAGAAGAAAAUUCGAUUCCCUUAGUAGCGGCGAGCGAAACGGGAAGAGCCCAAACCAACAAGCUUGCUUGUUGGGGUUGUAGGACACUCUAUACGGAGUUACAAAGGACGACAUUAGACGAAUCAUCUGGAAAGAUGAAUCAAAGAAGGUAAUAAUCCUGUAGUCGAAAAUGUUGUCUCUCUUGAGUGGAUCCUGAGUACGACGGAGCACGUGAAAUUCCGUCGGAAUCUGGGAGGACCAUCUCCUAAGGCUAAAUACUCUCUAGUGACCGAUAGUGAACCAGUACCGUGAGGGAAAGGUGAAAAGCACCCCGGAAGGGGAGUGAAAUAGAACCUGAAACCGUGUGCUUACAAGUAGUCAGAGCCCGUUAAUGGGUGAUGGCGUGCCUUUUGUAGAAUGAACCGGCGAGUUACGAUUUGAUGCAAGGUUAAGCAGUAAAUGUGGAGCCGUAGCGAAAGCGAGUCUGAAUAGGGCGUUUAGUAUUUGGUCGUAGACCCGAAACCAGGUGAUCUACCCUUGGUCAGGUUGAAGUUCAGGUAACACUGAAUGGAGACCGAACCGACUUACGUUGAAAAGUGAGCGGAUGAACUGAGGGUAGCGGAGAAAUUCCAAUCGAACCUGGAGAUAGCUGGUUCUCUCCGAAAUAGCUUUAGGGCUAGCCUCAAGUGAUGAUUAUUGGAGGUAGAGCACUGUUUGGACGAGGGGCCCCUCUCGGGUUACCGAAUUCAGACAAACUCCGAAUGCCAAUUAAUUUAACUUGGGAGUCAGAACAUGGGUGAUAAGGUCCGUGUUCGAAAGGGAAACAGCCCAGACCACCAGCUAAGGUCCCAAAAUAUAUGUUAAGUGGAAAAGGAUGUGGCGUUGCCCAGACAACUAGGAUGUUGGCUUAGAAGCAGCCAUCAUUUAAAGAGUGCGUAAUAGCUCACUAGUCGAGUGACACUGCGCCGAAAAUGUACCGGGGCUAAACAUAUUACCGAAGCUGUGGAUUGUCCUUUGGACAAUGGUAGGAGAGCGUUCUAAGGGCGUUGAAGCAUGAUCGUAAGGACAUGUGGAGCGCUUAGAAGUGAGAAUGCCGGUGUGAGUAGCGAAAGACGGGUGAGAAUCCCGUCCACCGAUUGACUAAGGUUUCCAGAGGAAGGCUCGUCCGCUCUGGGUUAGUCGGGUCCUAAGCUGAGGCCGACAGGCGUAGGCGAUGGAUAACAGGUUGAUAUUCCUGUACCACCUAUAAUCGUUUUAAUCGAUGGGGGACGCAGUAGGAUAGGCGAAGCGUGCGAUUGGAUUGCACGUCUAAGCAGUAAGGCUGAGUAUUAGGCAAAUCCGGUACUCGUUAAGGCUGAGCUGUGAUGGGGAGAAGACAUUGUGUCUUCGAGUCGUUGAUUUCACACUGCCGAGAAAAGCCUCUAGAUAGAAAAUAGGUGCCCGUACCGCAAACCGACACAGGUAGUCAAGAUGAGAAUUCUAAGGUGAGCGAGCGAACUCUCGUUAAGGAACUCGGCAAAAUGACCCCGUAACUUCGGGAGAAGGGGUGCUCUUUAGGGUUAACGCCCAGAAGAGCCGCAGUGAAUAGGCCCAAGCGACUGUUUAUCAAAAACAACAGGUCUCUGCUAAACCGUAAGGUGAUGUAUAGGGGCUGACGCCUGCCCGGUGCUGGAAGGUUAAGAGGAGUGGUUAGCUUCUGCGAAGCUACGAAUCGAAGCCCCAGUAAACGGCGGCCGUAACUAUAACGGUCCUAAGGUAGCGAAAUUCCUUGUCGGGUAAGUUCCGACCCGCACGAAAGGCGUAACGAUUUGGGCACUGUCUCAACGAGAGACUCGGUGAAAUCAUAGUACCUGUGAAGAUGCAGGUUACCCGCGACAGGACGGAAAGACCCCGUGGAGCUUUACUGUAGCCUGAUAUUGAAAUUCGGCACAGCUUGUACAGGAUAGGUAGGAGCCUUUGAAACGUGAGCGCUAGCUUACGUGGAGGCGCUGGUGGGAUACUACCCUAGCUGUGUUGGCUUUCUAACCCGCACCACUUAUCGUGGUGGGAGACAGUGUCAGGCGGGCAGUUUGACUGGGGCGGUCGCCUCCUAAAAGGUAACGGAGGCGCUCAAAGGUUCCCUCAGAAUGGUUGGAAAUCAUUCAUAGAGUGUAAAGGCAUAAGGGAGCUUGACUGCGAGACCUACAAGUCGAGCAGGGUCGAAAGACGGACUUAGUGAUCCGGUGGUUCCGCAUGGAAGGGCCAUCGCUCAACGGAUAAAAGCUACCCCGGGGAUAACAGGCUUAUCUCCCCCAAGAGUUCACAUCGACGGGGAGGUUUGGCACCUCGAUGUCGGCUCAUCGCAUCCUGGGGCUGUAGUCGGUCCCAAGGGUUGGGCUGUUCGCCCAUUAAAGCGGUACGCGAGCUGGGUUCAGAACGUCGUGAGACAGUUCGGUCCCUAUCCGUCGUGGGCGUAGGAAAUUUGAGAGGAGCUGUCCUUAGUACGAGAGGACCGGGAUGGACAUACCUCUGGUGUACCAGUUGUCGUGCCAACGGCAUAGCUGGGUAGCUAUGUGUGGACGGGAUAAGUGCUGAAAGCAUCUAAGCAUGAAGCCCCCCUCAAGAUGAGAUUUCCCAACUUCGGUUAUAAGAUCCCUCAAAGAUGAUGAGGUUAAUAGGUUCGAGGUGGAAGCAUGGUGACAUGUGGAGCUGACGAAUACUAAUCGAUCGAAGACUUAAUCA